rnacentral:rRNA from 1 species
CCUACGGGAGGCAGCAGUGAGGAAUAUUGCACAAUGGAGGAAACUCUGAUGCAGCAACGCCGCGUGGAGGAUGACGCAUUUCGGUGUGUAAACUCCUUUUAAGAGGGAAGAUAAUGACGGUACCUCUUGAAUAAGCACCGGCUAACUCCGUG